AGGGGAGGGAGGGUGGAG
rnacentral:miRNA from 1 species